rnacentral:rRNA from 1 species
AGAGUUUGAUCCUGGCUCAGAACGAACGCUGGCGGCAUGCCUAACACAUGCAAGUCGAACGAGAUCUUCGGGUCUAGUGGCGCACGGGUGCGUAACGCGUGGGAAUCUGCCCUUUGGUUCGGAAUAACAGUUGGAAACGACUGCUAAUACCGGAUGAUGACGAAAGUCCAAAGAUUUAUCGCCAGAGGAUGAGCCCGCGUAGGAUUAGCUAGUUGGUGUGGUAAAGGCGCACCAAGGCGACGAUCCUUAGCUGGUCUGAGAGGAUGAUCAGCCACACUGGGACUGAGACACGGCCCAGACUCCUACGGGAGGCAGCAGUGGGGAAUAUUGGACAAUGGGCGAAAGCCUGAUCCAGCAAUGCCGCGUGAGUGAUGAAGGCCUUAGGGUUGUAAAGCUCUUUUACCCGGGAUGAUAAUGACAGUACCGGAGAAU